rnacentral:lncRNA from 1 species
UUUUGAGCGCAAUAUUUUCCCAGCUGCUUUGGAAGAGGUGAAACAGAGAAUAUACCUCUGCCUUGCAUUCAAUAAACAGCUUUGACUAAGUGUUCUCAGCUCAAGAAAUUCAGCGGAGUUGGAGGCCAGUCUUCUUGAAGACAGAAUGCGAACAGACAAGAAAAAAAUGUUGGGCACAGCGCUUCUGUGGUCACCGUCACACCCAAAUGAGCCAGGACCUCAGGGAGCGCAACCUCAGAUCUGCAUUUGGACAUCACCUCCUUUUGAGUUUCCGUUCUGGACUAAGGAAGAUGCCUUUUAAAAAGUCUUCAGAGAGUAAUCGUGGAUCAUGCUGAAACUGAGUUAUUUCAAAAGUGAAAGAGUGCUUUUCCACUGGAUAGAUGUUCCAAUUUCUCUCUGCAACAUACCCAAGCCAGGGGGAAUAGUAAUAACCACUUCAAAUGCCUCUCUGAGCUCUGCCAGCCCGGUGAGGCAGUGCGAGCCGCUUCCAGCCCUUACAGUGGAGAAUUCCGUUGUAAAUCCUUCCAGUUAGCCAAGGUGGCAGCAAAGCAUAGGGAUAGCUCCUUGGGCUCCAGAAUCAACUAGAAAGUCCGCGUUUUAGGACAUACACACAUCUGCCUGCUUUUAAACAUCCAUUUUCCUAUGUAAGUGUAUAUAAGAGCCUGCAUGAUGUCCUUCUUUGAAAUGUUGAUCUGUGAGGGCGGUAUAAUGAUUUCCCCUUUAAAAACACAUUUUUGUUUGAAAGCAAGAUGGAACUCUUUACAG